GUGGGGAAUAUUGGUCAAUGGAGGCAACUCUGAACCAGCCAUGCCGCGUGCAGGAAGACGGCCCUAUGGGUUGUAAACUGCUUUUAUACGGGAAUAAACCUCUUUACGUGUAGGGAGCUGAAGGUACCGAAGGAAUAAGCACCGGCUAACUCCGUGCCAGCAGCCGCGGUAAUACGGAGGGUGCAAGCGUUAUCCGGAAUCAUUGGGUUUAAAGGGUCCGCAGGCGGGCUAUCAAGUCAGAGGUGAAAUCCCACAGCUUAACUGUGGAACUGCCUUUGAAACUGAUGGUCUUGAAUUAAGUGGGCGUUGGCGGAAUAUGACAUGUAGCGGUGAAAUGCAUAGAUAUGUCAUGGAACACCGAAAGCGAAGGCAGCUAACGAUACUUAUAUUGACGCUCAUGGACGAAAGCGUGGGUAGCGAACAGGAUUAGAAACCCCAGUAGUCC
rnacentral:rRNA from 1 species